CAUAAUACGCGCUUCGUCGGUGCCCAUCAGGGCCGAAGAGGGAACACGGGACCAACCGUGGCUGCCCCCGCAACUGUAAGCAGCGAGUCCGCGCGAAUUGGCCACUGGGCAACCGGGAAGGCCGCGCUGGAUGAGGACCUGCCAGCCAGGAGACCUGCCGACGAGACCAGUCGCAC
rnacentral:ncRNA from 2 species